rnacentral:rRNA from 1 species
AUUGAACGCUGGCGGCAGGCCUAACACAUGCAAGUCGAACGAGUGGCGGACGGGUGAGUAAUGUAUGGGCAACUGCCUGAUAGAGGGGGAUAACUACUGGAAACGGUGGCUAAUACCGCAUAAUAUCGGAUGAGCCCAGAUGGGAUUAGCUAGUUGGUGGGGUAAAGGCUCACCAAGGCGACGAUACCUAGCUGGGCUGAGAGGCUGACCAGCCACACUGGAACUGAGACACGGGCCAGACUCCUACGGGAGGCAGCAGUGGGGAAUCUUGCACAAUGGGCGCAAGCCUGACGCAGCCACGCCGCGUGAAUGAAGAAGGCCUUCGGGUUGUAAAGUUCUUUCGUUAGGGAGGCGUUACCCGCAGAAGAAGCACCGGCUAACUCCGUGCCAGCAGCCGCGGUAAUAC